rnacentral:lncRNA from 12 species
CCUUGGAACAGUCUUGGAAACUCGUGUAUUCCUCUAAACUAGUUCAUUNAGUGAGCCGCGGUCUAGAGUGAACCGCGGCCGGCUUAAGUGAGCAGAGGCGGAUUCUAUGAAGGAGCGUACCUUGUGUGUGCAGCAACCAAAUGUGACGACCCCGGGCUGGACGCCGCUUCGUCCACGGUGAAAUCCGAUUCGGCGAUCCACAGGGCAAAGUUGAUGUAUUUCCUCAGCGACCAGCACGGAUCAGCUUGAGGCAUGACAAAGCGGAUAUCGUCCUCUUUUGGCCAAACAAAGUAGUUUCGCUGUCACAGUGAAUCACACAGCGUCUAUACGACAUGACGGCUGCAGCAACAACAAUACUACAAGAGAAUAAAAGUCAGUUGCAAACAGGACAAGGAAAGCUGAAGAAAGCUGAUCUCUGCAUUUCCAAGAGACGAGGCUAUAUAUAUGUGUGUGUGUGUGUGUGUGUGUGUGUCAUUAGUUGUGUCUUAAUUUGUUUAAUAAUUAUUACAAAAAUACUAUUAUAAAACUACAUUUCACGAUUAUUUAUUUUACUUUAUAAUUAACUUUUUGUCUAUUCUGUAUUAUUCCACCCUUGCUAUUACAUAUUUUCUUGCUAUUAUUCAUCUAUUGUUAUUCAUUUAUUUAUUAUGGUAUUAUACGUAUACUUUGUGCUAUUAUAAAUCUAUUAUAUCACUUAUGUUAUUGUACUGUUGUACUCGCUUUUUAUAUUAUUCACUUUACUACAAGUUGUACAACAUAUAUUUUUUAAUAUUACUUGUCACUUUUACUAUAUUUUUAUUGUGCGCUGUAUCAGUGCAUAAUAUUUUGCACUGUAACUAAGUUUCACUGGAUCCAUAAAGGCUUAUCAGUUGCAUUUGUUAUUGUUUGUUGUGGAGUUUAUCCGAGUGCUAUCAAAAUAAAAAGCAGAGUGUGUUACUUUUUGAUUUGUAUUCGUUGGUUGUAUUCAAUUUUCUCAAUGAUGGUAAAUUAUUAGUGUUUAAAGAUGUAGCCUAUUAUUUCGAUUUUUCCCAGUAUUUCAAAGGGAAUGGGCUGUGUUCUGACCUGAAGCACAAGAAAAGCUCAAAUG